GGACCAUGUCCUCCCUGGGCUCCAACAGCCAUCCAAUAAUUGAGCACCUACUGUGAGCAGAGCAUGGUGGCAGCCACUGAGAAUCAGCUGGUUAAUGGGGCAGAUGUGGUCCCUGCCCACAUGGGCUCACAGAUGAAGAAACUGAAGCCCUGAGCAGUCAAGACCACACUGAGGUAUUCGAGAGCUCUGCAGCCUAAGCUUUCCACAACUUUGCUGCUUGCCUCAUCAGGCCUAACUGCCUUGCCAUUUCUGUCACAUCACUUGUACUCUGCUUCAGGAGAGAGAGGGAGAGAGUGAUGGCUGGCUCCCUGGACCUUGCCUGUCUCCCUCCUGAGUGUCACAGACCAGCAAAGGUUUCCUUAAUGUCUGGUUUCAUCAUCUACUUCAUACAUUUACAUCAUCAUCUACAAAUGUUUUUAUGAUCUCAUAUAAAAAAUUAGCUGAAUUA